UGGGGAAUUGAACAUUGUAAUUACAUUUAGACCCAGGGCAACACCCAAUUGUUCACUCUUAUUUGUAGCUGGAAGCACCUACAAAUGACAUGUUUUAAUGAAUUACAGAUCCUGUGGUGAGUUAAUAGGAUAACAAAUCUCAGUCAGUAUUGCAUCAGUUGGGGUGGGAAGAAGCUGAUCUCUUUGUAAACAUAUAACCUGGCCGAAACAGUUAAGAAAUGAUAAGGUUGAGUUAAUGUUAGUCCUUGUAUUCUUACUGCUGUGUCGACCUAUUCAGUUGGGUAGGCUGGCUGUUUCCCAGAAUUUCUCUGAG
rnacentral:lncRNA from 1 species